rnacentral:rRNA from 1 species
UGCAUAUCAAUAAGCGGAGGAAAAGAAACCAACAGGGAUUGCCUUAGUAACGGCGAGUGAAGCGGCAAAAGCUCAAAUUUGAAAUCUGGCACCUUCGGUGUCCGAGUUGUAAUUUGAAGAAGGUAACUUUGGAGUUGGCUCUUGUCUAUGUUCCUUGGAACAGGACGUCACAGAGGGUGAGAAUCCCGUGCGAUGAGAUGCCCAAUUCUAUGUAAAGUGCUUUCGAAGAGUCGAGUUGUUUGGGAAUGCAGCUCUAAGUGGGUGGUAAAUUCCAUCUAAAGCUAAAUAUUGGCGAGAGACCGAUAGCGAACAAGUACAGUGAUGGAAAGAUGAAAAGAACUUUGAAAAGAGAGUGAAAAAGUACGUGAAAUUGUUGAAAGGGAAGGGCUUGAGAUCAGACUUGGUAUUUUGCGAUCCUUUCCUUCUUGGUUGGGUUCCUCGCAGCUUACUGGGCCAGCAUCGGUUUGGAUGGUAGGAUAAUGACUAAGGAAUGUGGCUCUACUUCGGUGGAGUGUUAUAGCCUUGGUUGAUACUGCCUGUCUAGACCGAGGACUGCGUCUUU